GCACUCACUUCAGCAGCACAUACACUAAAACUGAAAUAAUGUAGAGAAGAUUAGCAUGGUCCCUGUGCAAAGACGACACACGAAUUUGUGAAGCAGUGCAUAGUUUU
ensembl:snRNA U6 U6 spliceosomal RNA